rnacentral:lncRNA from 1 species
UUUUAAAACAUGGUCUAAUGGGCUGAUGGGGGUGAAGAAAUGUCUCAUUGGUUCAAAGCAGAUGCUGCUCUUGCAGAAUACCCAGGUUUGGUUCCCAGCACCUACAUGGAAGCUCGUAAGUAUUUAAAUUCCAGCCUAGGGGACCUAACACUUCCUUCUACAUUAGGGAUAAGCACAUGCGGUGCACAUACUUACAUGUAGACAAAUGUUCAUACACAUAAAAUAAAAAUCAAUAAAGCCAAAAGAACUUGAUCUUGGAAUACAUGUUCCCAAGUCUGGAUAUUUUUGGAUAUUUUAAACAGGUGAGGGAGGACACAUACAUGAGAGAGAGAGAGAGAGAGAGAGAGAGAGUAUAUGUGUGUGUUGUGCAUAUGUAUGUGUGUGUGUUAUGUAUGUGUGUUUGUGUAUGUGAGGGUUUGUAUAUGUGUGUAUGUGUGUAGGUUUGUGUGUUUGUGUGUGUGUGUGUGUUUGUGUGUGGUGUAUGUGUAUGUGUGUUAUAUAUAUAUAUAUAUAUAUAUGUUUGUAUGUGGUGUGUGUUAUGUAUGUGUGCUUGUGUGUGUAUGUGUGUGUUUGUGUGUGUAUAUGUAUGUGUGUAUUUGUGUGUGUGUGUAUGUAUGUGUGUGUUUGUGUGUGUGUGCAAAAGCAUGUGGAGGCUAAAGGACAACCUUUACUGUCCAUCUUGUUUUUAUUGUUUUUGUUUUAAGACAGGGUCUCCCACUGGCUUGUAACUCAUAGAGUAGGCAAAGCUAGUUGGCCAGUGGAGUCCAAGGAUCUGUUUAUCUCCACCUCCCCAGCACUGGGAUCACAAACAAGCACUAUCCGGCCUGGUUGUUGUUAAUGUAGAUUGUGGGGCUAGAACUCAGCUCCCUGUGCCUGCAAAGCAAGAGGCGUAUUACUGACUGAGCUGUCUCUCUAGCCUAUCAAACAGGUUUCUUAUGAAUAACUUUAACCUAGUUGAGACUCUAAAGUGACUAGAGUUUCAAGCUUGGAAUGGAUCCUCUCUAGUCUGACAUGUUCGUUUGAGUACUUGGAAGCUAAGGCACAAGUUCGAGAAGUAGUCUCUUCAGUGAAGUUCAGCUCUUCUGUGGCUGAGCUCAGUCUUGGCUCAGGGUUUUGAGCCUCCCACCCCCCACCCCAGUGUGGUUUCCACUAACAUUGCUAGGGUCCCCGAGGCAGGCUGAGACCACUUUGGAAGCAUCCUUGGCCUUAGAAGAGCCCACCAGGCCUGUUCCCAGGCAGCUUUGAUGUCCCUGCUCACACGUGUGUCUGGCUCACACGGCUGUCCCAUUGGGCUGCUGCAAGGGGCUGAUUAGGUGUAAUUGCUUUGCUGGGAGCGAGCUAUCUACUUAAUAGAAUCAGCUUCCAGUAAUUAGCCUGCCACAGGCCCAUUUCCUUUGCUGAAGCCCCAGGGCUACUGGGCAUGUUGCAUGUUGGACCUCUGCAGGUGGCGGCGAGUAGGGUGGAUGUGGGUGGGCAUUGGGAUUGGUUUGAGGGUAAUCAAGAGAAGACAGCAUUGAGGAGAUUGAGCAGCAAGAACUCCAGAGCAGCCCUUCUGGAGGCUGAGAGCCAGGGACUUACAGCAUUCCAGACUGGAGCAUAGACAGACUGCUCCAGCAAUGUUAAGAGUGAACCCACUUGAAUCACAAAGGGCAUCUAUCUCGUCUAACCCCUGAACCCAAUACACUCAUUUCUUGUAGACAUACUAUGUGCUGGGCCUGGUACUAGCUCCAAGAAUCUUUCUAAAACAGAGCAAUUAGACUAUGCUUGCAUGCUCUCUUGACCAUGAGGUCAUUGCCACCCCAGCAGUUUGUGCCUUCCUGGGAGACAUAGAGGGCACUCCAUCUUAUGCUGUGCUGAUUGUUGGUGCAUCAUCCCAAAGGUCACUGGUCCCCUCUUGGCCCCACAGGACAAAGCUAAUCCGUCCUGUGUGACAGCUCACAUGGCCCCUGUCUCCUUCUCCAGGCUGAACAUCCCAAGUCCUCUUGCCCGUGCCAUGAACACCAACCUGGCAAGGCCCCUCAUUAAUCUGGCUGACAGGCCUGGAUCCUGCUCUUGUUUGUCAAUUCGUGGCUUCCAAUGCAGUCUAGGGCUCCAUGUCCAGCUCAGGGUCCUGCCUGAGCCAGAACAACUGCAGUCUUGGACAGCCCCAGGUCCCCCUUAAGCAUGCCAACUCCAGGAAGGGCUACGGUGGCAUUUUGCCCCCUUCCAUUAAGGAGAACGCAUUCACAGCUUGCUUGUGGGAGCAGAGUCACCACUUUUCCUGUUCCCCUGUCCCGACACACACACAUACACACACAAACACACACACACACACACACACACACACACACACACACACACACACACUACGCUCAUCCUGCUGUGCCUGCCUGCCCAGCACCACUCAAUACUCACUGGCUGAUUAAUCAUUGCGAGUGCUAUUAUAAUUAUUGUGUUUGGUGCUGAGAACAGGCUGCCUCUGCUUCUCAGAAACCAUAAACCUGCAAAGAAGGAUUUCAAGAUUUGUGAGCUGUUGAUGACAUCUCCGGCCUCUCUUUUCUUCAGCAACUCUGUGUUUAUCCGGAAAGAUGGGCCAUGGCCACUCUAGAAUCUCUCCAGAAGACCAUCUGGGGGGUCUUGCUAUGCAAGUUGCAAGAACAGGGACUUAUCUUGUGGCUAUAGAUAGGGCAGCCAGCGGAGCUGGGCAUGAGUCCCAGCUCUGGCCCUGUGUGCUUCAAGGCCUAGAGGUAUCUGUGUCCCUUGUCGGGCCUUGUUUUCUUCAGAGUACUAGAGGUCUAAGGAUUUCUCUGGCUUUAAUUGUGUAAUUUAACGAAAGAAAAGUGAAUGGGUAGAGUGGAAAAUGUGAAGGCUUAGAAAUUCAAGGAUGGGGAGGAGACCAGGACAGAAGCUGAAACAGUAAAGCUCACAACACCUGCACACACGGGCACACAUGCACACAUGCACACAUGCACACAUGCCCACAUGCCCACAUGCACACAUGCACACAUGCACACAUGCACACAUGCACACACGGGCACACAUGCACACAUGCACACAUGCACACAUGCACACAUGCACACAUGCACACAUGCACACAUGCACACAUGCAC